rnacentral:rRNA from 1 species
GCAGGGUGAGUCGACCCCUAAGGCGAGGCCGAAAGGCGUAGUCGAUGGGAAACGGGUUAAUAUUCCCGUACUUGGUGUUACUGCGAAGGGGGGACGGAGAAGGCUAUGUUGGCCGGGCGACGGUUGUCCCGGUUUAAGCGUGUAGGUGUGUGUUCCAGGUAAAUCCGGUUCACUUUAACACUGAGGCGUGAUGACGAGGCACUACGGUGCUGAAGCAACAAAUGCCCUGCUUCCAGGAAAAGCCUCUAAGCAUCAGGUAACAUCAAAUCGUACCCCAAACCGACACAGGUGGUCAGGUAGAGAAUACCAAGGCGCUUGAGAGAACUCGGGUGAAGGAACUAGGCAAAAUGGUGCCGUAACUUCGGGAGAAGGCACGCUGACACGUAGGUGAAGUGAUUUACUCACGGAGCUGAAGUCAGUCGAAGAUACCAGCUGGCUGCAACUGUUUAUUAAAAACACAGCACUGUGCAAACACGAAAGUGGACGUAUACGGUGUGACGCCUGCCCGGUGCCGGAAGGUUAAUUGAUGGGGUCAGCGCAAGCGAAGCUCCUGAUCGAAGCCCCGGUAAACGGCGGCCGUAACUAUAACGGUCCUAAGGUAGCGAAAUUCCUUGUCGGGUAAGUUCCGACCUGCACGAAUGGCGUAAUGAUGGCCAGGCUGUCUCCACCCGAGACUCAGUGAAAUUGAACUCGCUGUGAAGAUGCAGUGUACCCGCGGCAAGACGGAAAGACCCCGUGAACCUUUACUAUAGCUUGACACUGAACAUUGAGCCUUGAUGUGUAGGAUAGGUGGGAGGCUUUGAAGUGUGGACGCCAGUCUGCAUGGAGCCGACCUUGAAAUACCACCCUUUAAUGUUUGAUGUUCUAACGUGGACCCGUAAUCCGGGUUGCGGACAGUGUCUGGUGGGUAGUUUGACUGGGGCGGUCUCCUCCUAAAGAGUAACGGAGGAGCACGAAGGUUGGCUAAUCCUGGUCGGACAUCAGGAGGUUAGUGCAAUGGCAUAAGCCAGCUUGACUGCGAGCGUGACGGCGCGAGCAGGUGCGAAAGCAGGUCAUAGUGAUCCGGUGGUUCUGAAUGGAAGGGCCAUCGCUCAACGGAUAAAAGGUACUCCGGGGAUAACAGGCUGAUACCGCCCAAGAGUUCAUAUCGACGGCGGUGUUUGGCACCUCGAUGUCGGCUCAUCACAUCCUGGGGCUGAAGUAGGUCCCAAGGGUAUGGCUGUUCGCCAUUUAAAGUGGUACGCGAGCUGGGUUUAGAACGUCGUGAGACAGUUCGGUCCCUAUCUGCCGUGGGCGCUGGAGAACUGAGGGGGGCUGCUCCUAGUACGAGAGGACCGGAGUGGACGCAUCACUGGUGUUCGGGUUGUCAUGCCAAUGGCACUGCCCGGUAGCUAAAUGCGGAAGAGAUAAGUGCUGAAAGCAUCUAAGCACGAAACUUGCCCCGA